UGCAAGUCGAGCGAGAAAGUCUCUUCGGAGAUGAGUAAAGCGGCGCACGGGUGAGUAACACGUGGGCAAUCUGCCCUCGAGUCUGGGAUAACCCGGGGAAACUUGGGCUAAUACCGGAUACGGCUGCGGGGUCUUCGGGCCCUGUGGAGAAAGAUGGCCUCUUCUUGAAAGCCAUCUCUCGAGGAUGAGCCCGCGUCCUAUUAGCUAGUUGGUGGGGUAAAGGCUCAUCAAGGCAAAGAUGGGUAGCUGGUCUGAGAGGAUGACCAGCCACACUGGAACUGAGACACGGUCCAGACUCCUACGGGAGGCAGCAGUAGGGAAUUUUGGGCAAUGGGCGAAAGCCUGACCCAGCAACGCCGCGUGUGGGAUGAAGGCCCUCGGGUCGUAAACCACUGUCAGGAGGAAAGAAAAGUCGGCCGGAUAAUACUCGGUCGACCUGACGGUACCUCCAAAGGAAGCACCGGCUAACUCUGUGCCAGCAGCCGCGGUAAUACGAAGGUGGCAAGCGUUGUUCGGAUUUACUGGGCGUACAGGGAGAGUAGGCGGUUCGGUAAGCCCUUUGUGAAAUCUCCAGGCUUAACCUGGAAAAGUCGGAGGGGACUGCCGGGCUAGAGGACGGGAGAGGAGCGCGGAAUUCCCGGUGUAGCGGUGAAAUGCGUAGAGAUCGGGAGGAAGGCCGGUGGCGAAGGCGGCGCUCUGGAACGUUUCUGACGCUGAGGCUCGAAAGCGUGGGGAGCAAACAGGAUUAGAUACCCUGGUAGUCCACGCCUUAAACUAUGAAUACUAAGUGUCGGCGGUUUACCGCCGGUGCCGCAGCUAACGCAUUAAGUAUUCCGCCUGGGAAGUACGGCCGCAAGGUUGAAACUCAAAUGAAUUGACGGGG
rnacentral:rRNA from 1 species